CAAUUUAAAGCUUAUUUAAGUAAAGCAUUUCGUUUACAUUGAAAAGAUUGUU
rnacentral:tRNA from 1 species